UCAAUUGGAGGGCAAGUCUGGUGCCAGCAGCCGCGGUAAUUCCAGCUCCAAUAGCGUAUAUUAAAAUUGUUGCAGUUAAAAAGCUCGUAGUUGAAUUUCUGCUGCUUUGCAUUUUCUCCUAUACGAGUUUUUGCAUUGUGGCUUAUUUCGGUUAUAAUUUAUUAUUUCCGGAUGUUUACUUUGAGAAAAUUAGAGUGCUCAAAGCAGGCUUUUGCCUUGAAUAGUUUAGCAUGGAAUAAUAAAGUAGGACUUUGGUUCUAUUUUGUUGGUUUUAGGUACCAAAGUAAUGGUUAAUAGGAACAGUUGGGGGCAUUCGUAUUUAACUGUCAGAGGUGAAAUUCUUAGAUUUGUUAAAGACGAACUACUGCGAAAGCAUUUGCCAAGGAUGUUUUCAUUAAUCAAGAACGAAAGUUAGGGGAUCGAAGACGAUCAGAUACCGUCGUAGUCCUAACCAUAAACUAUGCCGACUAGAGAUUGGAGGUCGUCAGUUUUUACGACUCCUUCAGCACCUUGAGAGAAAUCAAAGUCUUUGGGUUCUGGGGGG
rnacentral:rRNA from 1 species